rnacentral:rRNA from 1 species
UACAGAGGUCUCAAGCGUUGUUCGGAUUCAUUGGGCGUAAAGGGUGCGUAGGUGGCGCGGUAAGUCGGGUGUGAAAUUUCGGAGCUUAACUCCGAAACUGCAUUCGAUACUGCCGUGCUUGAGGACUGGAGAGGAGACUGGAAUUUACGGUGUAGCAGUGAAAUGCGUAGAGAUCGUAAGGAAGACCAGUGGCGAAGGCGGGUCUCUGGACAGUUCCUGACACUGAGGCACGCAGGCCAGGGGAGCAAACGGG